GACGAACGCUGGCGGCGUGACUGAUACAUGCAAGUCGAACGCCGAGGGGACGGGUGAGUAACACGUGGGUAACCUCCCAUCAGAGGGGAUAACACUUGGAAACAGGUGCUAAACCGAUACUGAUGGAUGAACCCUCGGUUCAUUAGCUAGUUGGUGAGGUAACGGCUCACCAAGGUCACGAUGCAUAGCAGACCUGAGAGGGUGAUCGGCCACAUUGGGACUGAGACACGGCCCAGACUCCUACGGGAGGCAGAAGUAGGGAAUCUGCGGCAAUGGACGAAAGUCUGACCGAGCAACGCCGCGUGAGUGAAGAAGGUUUUCGGAUCGGAAAACUCUGUUGUUAGAGAAGCGGUAUCUAACCAGAAAGCCACGGCUAACUACGUGCCAGCAGCCGCGGUAAUUC
rnacentral:rRNA from 1 species